AGCUUUUCAAGACGAAUACUAUGGCUCAAAGUUGGCAGAAGUAACAAAGAUCCAUAUGUUGUAGGUCACUAUUUCCUGCACUACGUGGAAAGUAUUGGAGGGGUUCCCCGCUCCAUAAGGAUGGACAGGGGGACUGAGAACGUAUUUAUUGAAGAUCUACAAAAAGCAAUGAGGUGGUCACACACGGAUGAUAUGGCAGGAGAAAACAGUGUCUUGUAUGGCAGUUCUCACAGAAAUCAGAGAAUAGAAAAAUGGUGGUUGUCCUUGAGACAAA